CCCUUAGAUGUUCUGGGCCGCACGCGCGCUACACUGAUGCAUUCAACGAGUUUCUUCCUGGUCCGAGAGGAAUGGGUAACCUUUUGAAAGUGCAUCGUGAUAGGGAUAGACUAUUGCAAUUAUUGGUCUUCAACGAGGAAUUCCUUGUAAUCGUGAUUCAUCACAUCACGAUGAAUACGUCCCUGCCCUUUGUACACACCGCCCGUCGCUCCUACCGAUCGAAGAGUUAGGUGAAUUGUUUUGAUCGAUAAGAUUUGACUAUGGUCAACUCUCGUUGUGAAAUUCUGUGAAUCUGACUGUUUAGAGGAAGGAAAAGUCGUAACA
rnacentral:rRNA from 1 species